rnacentral:lncRNA from 1 species
UUUAUUUCUAUUGGAAACCCAAUAGAAAGCCCACCAAGCCCAUACUAGGCCUAUCAUCCAUUUAAUGAGUCACAUGGGUGUUUCCAUAUAAAGACUCACACAUUGAAUUCUUCUUCAAUGUGGGAUAAAUACCACACAAGUUCCAACAGUUCACACUUCAAAAAAGCUCUUGCAUGGAAAAAACAGAACAAAACAUAUAUAGAUCCCAGUGUAGAUAUAUCUUUGUGAGAUUGCCCAAGAAUGUGAAAAACUAGGACAGAAUUUGUCCAUACAUACCUUAUGUUCCACUGUAUCAAUUCAAUAAUGGCGAGCGAAGUGUUCUAGCCAGAAAAAAUGAUCAUAGUUAUGCCACAUAAGCUGCCACUCAAGGUGGGUUCUAGAUGGUUCCUUAAAAGUUAGUUCACCUAGCAUUACUUUUCUAAAAGUAAUUACCGAAAGUUCAUUCGAGUUUUUAUUUAUUUUUAUUUAUGAAAAAAGAAACAUAUUAAAUAGUGAAGCCUCUAUAAGCAUUCACAAUUUACAUUGUUGAAUAUGAUGGCAUUAGAGCCCUACUAUAGUUUUGCAUGUUCGGUCGGGUCAGCUCCGUCCUACUUCCCUGUCUUUUUUCCUGGGCUCAAACGUAUAGUAGCCAUGCACUUGCAUCUCAAAAAUGUCGAUCUGCUUGAUUGAUUAAGCACAUAUCAGAUAUGUUUCUUUAUUUGUGCAUGAUUGAUUAAGCACAUACAUACUGGAGCUGCUUGACAGACGAGCAUAAAUAUCGUCAUUGACGAACAACACAAGUGAUUGAGGGACCUAUGAUCAUUUUUUCUGACGGCCAAAAAUG